GAUGAACGCUGGCGGCGUGCCUAACACAUGCAAGUCGAGCGAACCCUUCGGGGUGAGCGGCGGACGGGUGAGUAACGCGUGGGUAACCUGCCCUGUACACACGGAUAACAUACCGAAAGGUAUGGUAAUACGGGAUAACAUAUGAGAGUCGCAUGGCUUUUGUAUCAAAGCUCCGGCGGUACAGGAUGGACCCGCGUCUGAUUAGCUAGUUGGUAAGGUAACGGCUUACCAAGGCAACGAUCAGUAGCCGACCUGAGAGGGUGAUCGGCCACAUUGGAACUGAGACACGGUCCAAACUCCUACGGGAGGCAGCAGUGGGGAAUAUUGCACAAUGGGCGAAAGCCUGAUGCAGCAACGCCGCGUGAGCGAUGAAGGCCUUCGGGUCGUAAAGCUCUGUCCUCAAGGAAGAUAAUGACGGUACUUGAGGAGGAAGCCCCGGCUAACUACGUGCCAGCAGCCGCGGUAAUACGUAGGGGGCUAGCGUUAUCCGGAAUUACUGGGCGUAAAGGGUGCGUAGGCGGUCUUUCAAGCCAGAAGUGAAAGGCUACGGCUCAACCGUAGUAAGCUUUUGGAACUGUAGGACUUGAGUGCAGGAGAGGAGAGUGGAAUUCCUAGUGUAGCGGUGAAAUGCGUAGAUAUUAGGAGGAACACCAGUAGCGAAGGCGGCUCUCUGGACUGUAACUGACGCUGAGGCACGAAAGCGUGGGGAGCAAACAGG
rnacentral:rRNA from 1 species